UGUGUGCACCCAACUUGGGUACGAUUUAAAAGCAGACCCCUGUAAGCCCUUGAAGACCCAUUUCCCACAUCCAGUAUCCCAUGACAAUGUUUUUGUUGUGAUGGAUGCUUGCCACAUGCUGAAGCUGACACGCAAUAUGUUGCAGGCAUACAGCCCAAUUAGAAGCAUAACUGGCCGUAUCAAUUGGAAGUACAUAGUUCAGCUGAACAAUGUCCAAAAGAAAAGUGGACUACCUGCUGCCAACCGAGUCACAGAUAACCAUGUGAACUUUGCUAAUCAGAAGAUGAAGGUCUCCCUGGCUGCUCAGACUUUG
ensembl:lncRNA